rnacentral:misc_RNA from 1 species
GCUAUAUUAGUUGCUAGGACAACUUUCCUUGCUCCAGUGGGUGUGGGUUCAAAUAUCUUAGCCUGUAGCUCUGUUGGUAAGUUAGCAUAUAUGGGGCAGAUAAUGAGUUCCGCAAUUUUGGUGCCUAGUCCCCGAGUUCUAUGUUUCAUUAUUUCCUCGGCUGCUUCAAUCUCUUCUUGACCAGUGAGAAACACCAAUAUAUCUCCUGGAGGCUUUGUGACAUGGAUCUGAAGUGCAGUCACGAUUGCUGCAUCUAAAUAGUCUGCUUCUGGAGCUUUUGU